GGAUCACACUUAUGAUGCGUCUGUCCUUGUACAUUUCGCAUCGCACAAGUCUCUUUUACGGCCGUUCACCAAGGAAUUUCAAACUCCCUCCCUUCACAGAUCCCCUCUUCGAAAAUGUUUCUUAAAACUUCAAUUAUUUCCUUUAAAUCAUUUUUGAAUGUUAGAUUUUCAUCUUCAUUCAUUCCUUCGUCACUGAAAUCAGCCAAACGCACCACUAUUAUUAAACACCUUUCUAAACUUGAUAAUUUCCUCCAUGUAAACUGCAAGUCGGGUAACUUUUCUCUUGAUGAAGCUCUUGAUUCUUUCGAUUACAUGAUUCAUAUGGACCCCGCUCCUGGUAUGUCAUCUUUCAGUAAUUUGUUUUCUGCACUUAUUAAGAAAAAAUAUUACGAUGAAUUCCUUGUGCUAUACACGAGGUUCGUUUCAGCUGGGUUGUUGCCUAAUUUGUUUACUUUGAGCAUUGUUAUUAAUUGCUUAUGCAAAAUGGACCGGGUUUCUGACGGUUUUGUGGUUUUUGGGAGUAUUUUUAGGAGGGGUUUUUACCCUGCCGCUGUGACUUUUACUAGCUGAUUAAUGGUCUUUGUGAGGAGGGCAAAAUUAAGAAGGCGAUUGAAUUGUUUGGAAAAAUGGUUUCUGUUGGAUGUAGGCCUGAUGUGGUUACAGUUGGGAGUUUGAUCACUGGCUUGUGUCGAACAGAUGGUCUUUGCAAAUAUGGGUUAGUAGACAAGGCGAAGAAACUGUUUUCAGAAAUGAAGUCCAAGGCUGUUAAUCCAGAUGUGAUUACUUACAACACUUUAAUUUAUGGAUUGUGUAAUACAUCUAAUUGGGAGGAGGCUAAAACUUUAUUUGCAGAAAUGUCGGAUGAAGGUGUAAAGCCUAAUGAGGUGACAUUUACUGUGGUUAUGGAUGAACUUUGUAAGAAUGGGAAGAUUGAUGAAGCCAAUGGAUUGCUCCAACUAAUGAUUAAUAGAGGUAUUCACCCCAACACAAUUACUUACAAUGCAAUUUUAAGUGGUUAUUGCUUGGCAGGUAGAAUUGGGGAUGCAAGAAAACUAUUUGAUUCCAUGGAAAGUAAGGGGUGUGAGCCUAAUGUUUUUAGCUUCAAUAUUUUAAUGGAUGGUAUGUGCUUGGCAAAUAAAAUUGAUGAUGCUAAGGAAUUGUUUUCUUUGAUGUUGAGUAAGGGAUGCAAACCUAAUGUAGUCAGCUACAAUACGAUGAUCAAUUGGUAUUGUAAGAAUCGAAAAGCUGAUGAAGCUAUUUGUGUUUAUAAGGAAAUGACCUCAAAGGGAAUUCAGCCAACAAUCGUUACAUUUAGCACCUUGCUAAAAGGUUUUUUCAUGUAUGGUAAAGUUGGACAAGCAAAAAAACUAUUUGGUGAGAUGCAACUUAGUAAUGUUCCUCCCAAUUUAAUUACGUAUAAUAUUCUUAUUGAUGGGUUUUGCAAAAAUGGUUAUGUUUUGGAGGCUGUUGAACUGUUUCAUUCUUUAAGAAACGGAAACAUUCAUCCUGACAUCAUUACUUUCAAUUGUCUCAUUGAUGGUUUGUGCAAAACAAGAAGACUCAAUAUUGCUUUGGAACUAUUUAACAGAUGGCGCAAUGAAGGAUUUGUUCCAGAUGUUGUGACAUAUAACAUUCUGUUGUAUGGACUUUGUAAAGAAGGGAAGUUGGAGAUGGCAAGUAAUUUGUUAUCAGAUAUGGAACAAAACGACUGUGCUCCAGAUUGCAUCAGUUUUAAUACUCUUAUGUCUGGUUUCUUGCAAAAUAAUGAGGCUUCAAAAGUGGUAGAACUUCUUCGCAAAAUGAAAGGGAGAAAUGUGAAGCCAGAUGCAUCCACGGCUUCAAUUAUUCUAGAUUUACUACAAAGGUAUAAAAACUACAGUGAAGUCCUAAAUUUGCUACCAGCGUUCUCAAACCAAGAACCUGCGGAUAGUUGAUUGUCAAGUAACUGCAUUUUCUGAGGGAGUACAACUUAUCACAAGAGUCUUGCCAGAUGUCAAAGUUUCUAUGUAAAGGUGCCUAUUAUUGUUUUCAGAGGAAUUUUUUACAAAGAUGUUUCUAAGGUUGCAGGUGGUUUAGCACCCAGGGCUGCUGAUUGAAAUGAUGCUAUUGAAGCAGUGGAGAAAUUGUAUUCACUCUUUUGUAAAUAUUAAUCAUAUAGUGAGGAAGACAGAGAAAGUGUGUGCUUAUUGGGUUGAAAGGAAGUCUGGUUAUGGAGUGAUGUGUAAGUUUUGCAAUCCAACUGAGGGUUUUAGGUUGUUGAAGUAGCUUGAAGGCCAGUUGAAGGUACAAUCAAUUUUAUUAUGUGUGGGAUUGUGUCGCCAUCGGAAUCUUCUAAUCUUUAUCCGGGAAGUCAAGCUGAAACUGUGAGGUUUGGAAUUGUCUCUGCAUCUGGCUGCGAUUGUUGUUGGUACAAAGAAAAUUUCUUGAUUCACUGAUUAUUUAAUUUGUUUAUUUUAUAAGGGUUGAAACUAUGGUUUAUAUUAUAGAAUUUUUUUGUUAGGAGCAUUUCAACCUAUUAUAAAAGAUUAUGUAUUACAUAACGAAAUAUUCAUUGAAAAAUUAUUGUGUCCUGAAUUUUACCAAUGGUAAAAUUAUCUGAGUAUUUACCUCCCUGAAAUUGACAACAAAUU